rnacentral:rRNA from 1 species
CCCCCAUCCGGCCAGGCUUACCAUGCAGUCGAGGGGUAUAGUAGCAAUACUAGAGACCGGCGCACGGGUGCGUAACGCGUAUGCAAUCUACCUUUUGCAGAGGGAUAGCCCAGAGAAAUUUGGAUUAAUACCUCAUAGUAUAUAGAGUUGGCAUCAACACUAUAUUAAAGUCACAACGGCAAAAGAUGAGCAUGCGUCCCAUUAGCUAGUUGGUAAGGUAACGGCUUACCAAGGCGACGAUGGGUAGGGGUCCUGAGAGGGAGAUCCCCCACACUGGUACUGAGACACGGACCAGACUCCUACGGGAGGCAGCAGUGAGGAAUAUUGGACAAUGGGCGCAAGCCUGAUCCAGCCAUGCCGCGUGCAGGAUGACGGUCCUAUGGAUUGUAAACUGCUUUUGCACAGGAAGAAACAACGCUACGUGUAGCGUCUUGACGGUACUGUGAGAAUAAGGAUCGGCUAACUCCGUGCCAGCAGCCGCGGUAAUACGGAGGAUCCAAGCGUUAUCCGGAAUCAUUGGGUUUAAAGGGUCCGUAGGCGGCUUUAUAAGUCAGUGGUGAAAUCUCCCCGCUCAACGGGGAAACGGCCAUUGAUACCGUAAGGCUUGAAUUAUUAGGAAGUAACUAGAAUAUGUAGUGUAGCGGUGAAAUGUUUAGAGAUUACAUGGAAUACCAAUUGCGAAGGCAGGUUACUACUAAUGGAUUGACGCUGAUGGACGAAAGCGUGGGUAGCGAACAGGAUUAGAUACCCUGGUAGUCCACGCCGUAAACGAUGGAUACUAGCUGUUGGGCGCAAGUUCAGUGGCUAAGCGAAAGUGAUAAGUAUCCCACCUGGGGAGUACGUUCGCAAGAAUGAAACUCAAAGGAAUUGACGG